AGAGUUUGAUUAUGGCUCAGGAUGAACGCUAGCGACAGGCUUAACACAUGCAAGUCGAGGGGCAGCAUAGAAGUAGCAAUACUUGGUGGCGACCGGCGCACGGGUGAGUAACGCGUAUGCAACCUACCUAUCAGAGGGGAAUAACCCGGCGAAAGUCGGACUAAUACCGCAUAAAACAGGGGCACCGCAUGGUGAUAUUUGUUAAAGAAAUUCGCUGAUAGAUGGGCAUGCGUUCCAUUAGGUAGUUGGUGAGGUAACGGCUCACCAAGCCGACGAUGGAUAGGGAACUGAGAGGUUGGUCCCCCACACUGGUACUGAGACACGGACCAGACUCCUACGGGAGGCAGCAGUGAGGAAUAUUGGUCAAUGGGCGGGAGCCUGAACCAGCCAAGUCGCCGUGAAGGAAGAAGGAUCUAUGGUUCGUAAACUUCUUUUGCAGGGGAAUAAAGUGCAGGACGUGUCCUGUUUUGUAUGUACCCUGAGAAUAAGGAUCGGCUAACUCCGUGCCAGCCGCCGC
rnacentral:rRNA from 1 species